ensembl:lncRNA
CAUAGCUGAGCUCCCAGCAUGACUGGGGCAGUAAGACAACCCUGUUAGGACUAAAAAGCCAUUUCUGCAUCUCGAAGACACAGAUGCAACCCCAGUCUGGCAUUCAAGAGCGUAACUUUAUCAGAGGACCGGCAAGAGUGAACGCAGGGAGGAUGGAGAUGCACGUCCUGCUGGAAGAACCACGGAGAGUGCAGUUCCAGAGAAGAGACUCUGCACAGCGAGGCCCAGAUGGUGUGGGGCCUGUGCGCCAGCAGAGGGGGUCCCACUGCAGCACGAUGGCAAGAAGGAGCUUUGGAAGGAUUUCAACCAGGGUUGUGACAAGGAGAGAGUAAGCCUCGGCAAAGGAAAGUCACUUGCCCAAGGACACCAAGUCAUUUUGGUCAGGGCCAGGUCCACCGCCGAGAUCCUCGCUGCUCAUCAUGGUGUCUCAGGAGCAGCAACAUCAGCAUCACCCGGGAGCUGGCUCCUCUGGGCUGUGAUGCUUUCUCAGACUCUCCUGGUGUUGGAUGACCUUGCCAGUUUUGAGCGGUCAGCUCUGGGACGUAGGGAGCGUUAUCCCUCCUUUGCAGGAAUGGAUCAGAAAGGAGAGGCGAUUUGCCAAGUGAGUGAAGGCUGGAGCCAGUAUCUGAGUCAUCAUCUGCCUGUUCCAAAGCCUUUGCCACCUAUACUGAGGUGUCAUAUUACAAACUGGGGCAAUCCCUCCAGGCUUUAAAUUUGAGGAAUUCAAGAGGUUCCAAAGAGAGAAGAACAGAGACAGAGAGCUGAGCGGAGUCACCCAGAGGGCAGAAGGAGCUGGAGGUAGAGCUUUAAUGAACUACUCUGAAAGACCCAAGCACUCAUAAGACAAAGCAACGGACAUGCAUUGAGUUCCCAGUCCUACCGUCUAACCGAGAUAUGACUAUGGAUCUGCUACUUGAUCUUUCUGAGCUCCAUCUGUAAAACACAGAGAAAAACAAUACCAGCAUCACACAACAGGAGUCACCCUGGAGACAAAUGAAAGGAAACUGAAUGUGGAAUGGGGGGAGAGAAGGAUUUCUGUGGAGGAUCUGGGUAACUUCGGGAUCGUUCCGAGAGAUGAUCAUUUCACAGCAGGCUUAGCAGACAGUCUUCGGAUGGAAGCUCUCAAGAGCAAGCCCAGAAAGUUUCUGGAGGGUCAAAGCUAUGAUCUGGAGGGAAAUGGAAGUAUCUACUUAACGUCUGCAAUGUGCCAGGUAAACGCUCCUGCUUUGCUGUCAUUGCCGCAUUUAAUUCUUACAGCAGUACUGUCAGGUCAGCAUCAUUAUCCUUGUUUCAGGGAGGAGGAAACUGAAGCUCAGAGAGGUGCAGAAACUUACCCAAGUCACAUAGCUUCCAAGUGGUGGAGACUGGAUUCCCACUUGGCUCUAGCAGAGUCCUAAGUCCCUAUUACGUCCAGGUACUUUGAGGGAGUAGCAUGGAAUAAGAUUAAGACUUGGCCCUUCCUCUCCAAUUGCUCACAGUCAAACAAGGAUGAUCAGGAAUGCAUGGCAUUGACCAGAAGCCCAGGCAAAAUGCAAAUAGUAACAAAAUGCAAAUGGCAAGAACAGGUUUAAUUAAAGUCCUUUGAGAAUUCACAGAAGGAGCAUGGUACUUUCAGUUGGAGGGAGGCAAAUGGGGAUCAGAUUAAUGGAAGGGGUGACAUUUGAUGUGGUUCUUGAAAAGAGGGUGGGAUUUUCAAAGGC